rnacentral:tRNA from 1 species
GGGGAUGUGGUUCAAUGGUAGACCUCUUGCCUUGUAUUCACAAGACCCUGGGUUCAAUCCCCAGUACCACCA